GAAAUGCGAUAAGUAGUGUGAAUUGCAGAAUUCAGUGAAUCAUCGAAUCUUUGAACGCACAUUGCGCCCCUUGGUAUUCCAUGGGACAUGCCUGUUCGAGCGUCAUUUGUACCCUCAAGCUCUGCUUGGUGUUGGGUGUUUGUCCCCGUCUCCGCGCGUGGACUCGCCCCAAAGUGAUUGGCAGCCGGCGUACUGGUCCCGGAGCGCAGCACAUGUCGCGCAAACGAGUGCCUUGGUACGGCGGCGUCCAUAAGCCCCUCUCUCACGCUCUUGACCUCGGAUCAGGUAGGGAUACCCGCUGAACUUAAGC
rnacentral:misc_RNA from 1 species